rnacentral:rRNA from 1 species
UGGGGAAUAUUGCACAAUGGACGGAAGUCUGAUGCAGCGACGCCGCGUGGGGGAUGAAGGCUUUCUGGUUGUAAACUCCUUUCAGUACAGAAGAAGCUUUAUUGUGACGGUAUGUGCAGAAGAAGCGCCGGCUAACUACGUGCCAGCAGCCGCGGUAAUACGUAGGGCGCGAGCGUUGUCCGGAAUUAUUGGGCGUAAAGAGCUCGUAGGCGGUUUGUCGCGUCUGCUGUGAAAGACCGGGGCUUAACUCCGGGGCUGCAGUGGGUACGGGCAGGCUGGAGUGCGGUAGGGGUAACCGGAAUUCCUGGUGUAGCGGUGGAAUGCGCAGAUAUCAGGAGGAACACCGAUGGCGAAGGCAGGUUACUGGGCCGUUACUGACGCUGAGGAGCGAAAGCAUGGGGAGCGAACAGG